UUAACCACCAAACAAAAAAAUCCCUCAUUUCUUUCUCCCCCCUCUGUUCUUCUUCCUCCUUCAACCCCAACCUCGAAAAAAAUGCAAUUCCCUCUUCAAAUUAAAUUGAACAAUGAAUCACUGCAAUCAUCUCCAUCAUAAUUCGAGUUUGGGCAAGAAGUAUCUGACAUUGACCUCCAAGUCCUCUCACUGGCGUCUGCAGAAGAUGUGCUUACUGAUUUUAUCACAAUUAUUUGGGGAAAGGAAAGGAGGGGGGGUUGAUUAUAGUUAUGGAAUGUAUUUACCCUCUGCUCUAUAAUCCUCCCUUUUUUCUCAGUAAACAAGUAUAGUUGGCUUAAUUAACUUAAUUAACGUGUUAAAGUUGUUAAUUGUUUAUUAUGCCUUAACAAUGCCUUUGUAUCCUCCUGGCAGUGGUUAAAACUUAAAAUUGUAAGAUUGGUCUUUAAUCGCACAAGUAUAGGUUCUCUUCGUACUUCGCAGUUGGGUAAUCGAUAGUUGUUUCUCAUGUA